UACGAAGGGGGCUAGCGUUGUUCGGUUUUACUGGGCGUAAAGCGCACGUAGGCGGAUCGUUAAGUCGGGGGUGAAAUCCCGGAGCUCAACUCCAGAACUGCCUUCGAUACUGGCGAUCUUGAGUCCGGAAGAGGUGAGUGGAACUCCUAGUGUAGAGGUGGAAUUCGUAGAUAUUAGGAAGAACACCAGUGGCGAAGGCGGCUCACUGGUCCGGUACUGACGCUGAGGUGCGAAAGCGUGGGGAGCAAACAGG
rnacentral:rRNA from 1 species